rnacentral:lncRNA from 1 species
CCUCACUGCUACAUUUUCCCCCUUCACUACCACAACGGGAAGGCUAAUUCACUACCACAACUGGAAGGCUAAUUCACUACCACAACAGGAAGGCUAAUUCACUAACACAACGGAAAGGCUAAUUCACUAACACAACAGGAAGGCUAAUUCACUAUCACAACAGGAAGGCUAAUUCACUAACACAACAGGAAGGCUAAUUCACUAUCACAACUGGAAGGCUAAUUCACUAUCACAACAGGAAGGCUAAUUCACUACCACAACAGGAAGGCUAAUUCACUAACACAACGGAAAGGCUAAUUCACUAACACAACAGGAAG